rnacentral:tRNA from 1 species
AUGUAAGUAGGCUAUACUUAAGCCUUCAGACCCAUGCUCUGACUAAGUGAUUUUCACCUUACAUA